CCGCGCCCAUGAAAUCGGCAAUCAGCUGUUCUCGUUUUCUGGUGUGUACACCAAACUGUUCACAGUUCAAGGGAAUGGCACAUUGUUGCAUUCCACUCUGUCGAUCGGACUCCAAGAAGAAGCCGCCCGGGGUGUCUUUCCACGAGAUUCCCGCGGAUCUUGACACACGGGAGCAGUGGUUGAAGCGCAUCGAACGUGAUAACUGGGUGCCGAACGCGACGUCCAACUACAGUAAAGUGUGCAGCCGGCAUUUCACAAAUGCAGAUUUUGUGGAAGGUUAGAGACGGAGGCUCAAAAAGGGAGCGCUACCUCCGGUGUUCCCGGACUAUCCAUCGCAUCUUCAGCCACGACAAAUUUCGAACCGCGGUGAUAGCUCUAUCAGGAAACGAAAGUUGGCCAAUGACACACGCGGGAUCAUCGAUUCAGCAAAAAGAAUUAAGCUUGCCCAGAAUGUUGCGUUGCCAGAGGAAGAAUUUAAAGUCGACCAGACUCUCAGCAUGGACACUGACACUGUACGGUUCGGCCUGAAGAAAGGCUGACACAAGCAGUAACAGCGGAUAUGAGCAAAGCACCACAGCAAACACUACGACAGGACCAAGCAACCCAAGUGGACAACCUCAGGAAGAGGGACAUCACUGCACCUGAAAGAUCAAGAUGGAACAGGAAGCUGAACAUUAGAAACGCUUCACAAGACCUUCUCCGUGUCGUGGACAUUCUGAACAAAUUUGCUGAUGCUGCGUUGAAGAGCAAGCCAAACCUGCCUCGCCCACUGGGUACACUGCUCAAAUAUGCUGUGCCUGCUCUAUCUUGUUCCCCGCUGUUGCAAUGUCCUAGCCAUGACUGUGAGCUUAGGGAAGAACUGUGCACCUUGAUUUGCAGAUAUUUCUUCAGGCCACUUCUGAGCAACUAUGCCUUCACUGUCACCGACAAGAACGAUGCGUACAAAGCAUUCUGCCAAAAGCCACUCUCUCGCAAAGUUGUAAAACUGUAGUUGAUGUGAAUAAUAAACGUUAUGUUUUCUU